rnacentral:misc_RNA from 1 species
GAAAUUUGGAGUUACCGAUGACUUGAGAGAAUUCGUUAAGGGGAUUACCAUUAAUACGUUUCAGGAUUUUCCACUUGAAGAUGAUUCAGUGAUCUCUGAUAUUCCUACAGUCUCAAAUGUUCGGCAGGAUCUUACAGAAUUUCAGGAAAAACACGCAAAGUUUGUUCUUUCAUCUGUCAAGGAAAUUUCAAAGCUAAGAUAUGAGUUAUGCCCACGGAUAAUGAAGGAAAGGAAGUUCUGGAGAAUCUACUUUAUUUUAGUUAACAGUCAUGUGGCCCCGUAUGAAAAGAAAUACACGGAAGAGGCCAAGGCCGAAAUAAUAUCUGUUGAAAAGGCUCAAGUUGAGAGUGAAAAGGAGGUUUCUUUAGCUGGAACAAUUUGUAAACCAGUGACUGAGGCAACUACCCAGAAAAAUAAGAAGGCAACCUCAUCAACAUCAGACCAGGAUUUGGAUGUUUUUCUCCUUGGAGAAGACAGUGAUGAUGGACCAGAUGAUGGGGAUGAUGCCUUUGAUGAUGAUUUUGACAAGAUAUAGAUUGGAAGCUCUCAACAUUGAAAGUCUGCAUAGCAAUGGCUGCCUUGCGCUCAGGAAGCUUGGGGAUGAAGUCCUUCUGGAUGAGUUAUAUUCCUAUGGAGUAGCAUGAUGAAGCCAGCUACAUCAAUUAGUCAAUGCUCACCAUAUUCCACUCCCUCUAUUCUUCCACAGUGGGUUGUUGCAUUUUAUUGUUAUUUAUUCUGUGAUGUAUUCUUUACGUACUGGAAAUACAGAAAAAAGGUGGAAAAUGGAGGUCAAAUAGUAUAUGAUGGUAUUUGGAGCUGUAAAUUAGAGUUGUUUU